rnacentral:rRNA from 1 species
AUUGAACGCUGGCGGCAUGCUUUACACAUGCAAGUCGAACGGCAGCGCGGGCUUCGGCCUGGCGGCGAGUGGCGAACGGGUGAGUAAUGCAUCGGAACGUGCCCAGUAGUGGGGGAUAGCCCGGCGAAAGCCGGAUUAAUACCGCAUACGACCUGAGGGUGAAGGCGGGGGACCGAAAGGCCUCGCGCUAUUGGAGCGGCCGAUGUCGGAUUAGCUAGUUGGUGGGGUAAAGGCUUACCAAGGCGACGAUCCGUAGCUGGUCUGAGAGGACGACCAGCCACACUGGGACUGAGACACGGCCCAGACUCCUACGGGAGGCAGCAGUGGGGAAUUUUGGACAAUGGGGGCAACCCUGAUCCAGCCAUGCCGCGUGCGGGAAGAAGGCCUUCGGGUUGUAAACCGCUUUUGUUCGGGAAGAAAUCCUCUGGGCUAAUACCCCGGGGGGAUGACGGUACCGGAAGAAUAAGCACCGACUAACUACGUG